ACCACUUGUUGCCUCGGCGGAUCAGCCCGCUCCCGGUAAAACGGGACGGCCCGCCAGAGGACCCCUAAACUCUGUUUCUAUAUGUAACUUCUGAGUAAAACCAUAAAUAAAUCAAAACUUUCAACAACGGAUCUCUUGGUUCUGGCAUCGAUGAAGAACGCAGCAAAAUGCGAUAAGUAAUGUGAAUUGCAGAAUUCAGUGAAUCAUCGAAUCUUUGAACGCACAUUGCGCCUGCCAGUAUUCUGGCGGGCAUGCCUGUUCGAGCGUCAUUUCAACCCUCAAGCACAGCUUGGUGUUGGGACUCGCGUUAAUUCGCGUUCCCCAAAUUGAUUGGCGGUCACGUCGAGCUUCCAUAGCGUAGUAGUAAAACCCUCGUUACUGGUAAUCGUCGCGGCCACGCCGUUAAACCCCAACUUCUGAAUGUUGACCUCGGAUCAGGUAGGAAUACCCGCUGAACUU
rnacentral:rRNA from 1 species